GGGGAUGUGGCUCAAGUGGUAGCGUGCUCACCUGGCGUGCGCGGAGUGCUGAGUUCGAUCCUCAGCACCACA
rnacentral:tRNA from 1 species